UACGUAGGGUGCAAGCGUUAUUCGGAAUUACUGGGCGUAAAGCGUGCGCAGGCGGUUUUGUAAGCCAGAUGUGAAAGCCCCGGGCUUAACCUGGGAAUGGCAUUUGGGACUGCAAGGCUAGAGUGCGGCAGAGGAGACUGGAAUUCCUGGUGUAGCAGUGAAAUGCGUAGAUAUCAGGAGGAAUACCGAUGGCGAAGGCAGGUCUCUGGGCUGACACUGACGCUCAUGCACGAAAGCGUGGGGAGCAAACAGG
rnacentral:rRNA from 1 species